GGAAGAGGCACUAGGAAUCUGAAGUGGUCAGGUACGGUUAUCCAUAGGAUCCUGAUGUCGGUCCUUUGUGAAAUACAAGGAGCAGAUAGUGUUGAGUUUUGUAAAAUACUGACAUCUGUUAAACUAAUACUGACGUAACCACAAGCACCGGACCGAAGAUACGGGACGCAAGAGCAGAAGAGGCAGCGAGGAAACGGCGGCCAAUGGUACACAGAAUUGGACCGCCACGCGCCAAGGGCGACACCUGGAAGAAGUGAAUAUAAACACCGUUCCUGCCAGCCUCGGUUGCUCACAUCGGCACCGGAUCGCGGCAUCAGUUAUCAGUGACGUGUAUCAACUUGCCUGAACAGUUCACAUACCAAGGACUCUGAGCUAUAUUACUUGUCGCCUCCUCGUUUGUGACGCCUGUUUGUAAAUUUCCGAAGUUAAGUAUUGUCUUUUGCGUUCUGGGAAUAAAACUACUAAUGUUA